GGACUCAGGGUGCAUUUUGCAGGCUGUGUUCUUACACUGACUGUAUAGGAAAAAGAGACAGAGCAUACACACCCCAGCCUGGGUUCUGUGCCUGGUCUAUAAUGUGAAUGGAGAGACAUGG
rnacentral:snoRNA from 1 species